rnacentral:piRNA from 1 species
UAACUCGAGGGUGCGGACCCAAAUCC